rnacentral:rRNA from 1 species
GACGAACGCUGGCGGCGUGCCUAAUACAUGCAAGUAGAACGCUGAAGAGAGGAGCUUACUCUUCUUGGAUGAGUUGCGAACGGGUGAGUAACGCGUAGGUAACCCGCCUUGUAGCGGGGGAUAACUAUUGGAAACGAUAGCUAAUACCGCAUAACAAUGGAUGACACAUGUCAUUUAUUUGAAAGGGGCAAUUGCUCCACUACAAGAUGGACCUGCGUUGUAUUAGCUAGUAGGUGAGGUAAUGGCUCACCUAGGCGACGAUACAUAGCCGACCUGAGAGGGUGAUCGGCCACACUGGGGCUGAGACACGGCCCAGACUCCUACGGGAGGCAGCAGUAGGGAAUCUUCGGCAAUGGGGGCAACCCUGACCGAGCAACGCCGCGUGAGUGAAGAAGGUUUUCGGAUCGUAAAGCUCUGUUGUAAGUCAAGAACGGGUGUGAGAGUGGAAAGUUCACACUGUGACGGUAGCUUACCAGAAAGGGACGGCUAACUACGUG